GAUGAACGCUGGCGGCGCGCUUAACACAUGCAAGUCGAACGGUGAAAGCGGAGCUUGCUCCGCUGGAUCAGUGGCGAACGGGUGAGUAACACGUGGGCAACCUGCCCCUCACUUCGGGAUAACUCCGGGAAACCGGGGCUAAUACCGGAUAUGACCUCCUUGGGCAUCCUUGGCGGUGGAAAGUUUUUCGGUGAGGGAUGGGCCCGCGGCCUAUCAGCUUGUUGGGGGGGUGAUGGCCUACCAAGGCGACGACGGGUAGCCGGCCUGAGAGGGUGACCGGCCACACUGGGACUGAGAUACGGCCCAGACUCCUACGGGAGGCAGCAGUGGGGAAUAUUGCACAAUGGGCGCAAGCCUGAUGCAGCGACGCCGCGUGAGGGAUGACGGCCUUCGGGUUGUAAACCUCUUUCAGCACCGACGAAGCGCAAGUGACGGUAGGUGCAGAAGAGGGACCGGCCAACUACGUGCCAGCAGCCGCGGUAA
rnacentral:rRNA from 1 species